ACAUGAUAUCGUCACUGGGCAGCGAGCUAACGAAACUCUUAUUUCUUGCUCGCAACACCGAGCUGCCUGCACGAAUGUCUUCACUGACUUAACUUUUGAAAGUUAAACAACUGCAUUGUGCAGCUCCUGCCCACUUACCCAACAGACCUCCGUCAUCUGGUGUACAAGCUGCUGAAACCUCUGUUUUUGUGAUUCCACUUCAAUAAAUUGCUGAAGCUGA